CAAAAUUCCCCAGAUAGAUAACAAUGACAGAUAAGUUUAUAAUUUUUGUAAAUAUUUCUGUUGGAAAAAAUUAAGCGCGAGUUAUGACGUCAAAAAGUUAGGUUAGGACUCUGACGUUCCGGGAACCGUUAGAGGGUCAGACGGUUCAUUCCAAUUUUAAUACUACUCAAACAGGAUUACAACCAAAAUGUCAACUUUGGAAUACUCGAAAGCAUUAACAGAAUGGGGACGAUCGUCAUGGAAAAACGUCCACAACUGUAAACUGUGCCCCAAUUUUACAACGUCACUUUUCUUUAUGGUAAAUCACGUCAAACGACACCGUUCCACUCUAGAAAAACUGACUUGUGAAAACGCCAAAAUCGAAGCAUUUUACUGUAAAGACUGCGAUUUUCAAACGGAACUAACGAUUCUGUUCAAACUACACGUUGCUAAAUAUCACGGCCUUAAGAGAGAGUCUAGUGAGGACUUCGACAUACAAAUCUACGUUUGCGAAAAGUGCAGCUUCAAAACAAACUUUUCGUUAAAGUGGUUUCAGCAUAUUUCAACAUGCACCAGAACGAAAACCGACGAAAUACGUUGGUAUUACUGUGCGCAAUGUUCCUACAAAUCUAAAUACAAAGUUAACUUGAAUCGUCACACUCAGAAUAGCCACUGGGCCAAGCGUUUUGCGUGUAACAAGUGUUCAUUUAAAACUAGACAUAAACAAAGUUUAAAAUACCACAUAAAUCGAAUCCACUUAGGUCAACAAGUUGGUGAGUGGUGGAAUUGCGAGAAAUGUUCUUAUAGAACUAGAACAAAGAACGAUUUAAAAAUACACAUGUAUUAUGUACACUUGAAUGAAGACGAGGUUAAAUGGUACGAAUGCAACCAGUGUCCUUUUAAAACUAAGUACAAAUCGUACUUAAAGACGCACGUAAACGCAAAACAUCUAGACGAAGAAAAAAUUACGUGGUACGAAUGUGAAAAUUGUCCGUACAAAACAAAAAUCGCGUCGAAUUUAAGAAGUCAUGUGGUUUUUCGGCAUUUGAAUAAGGGAGAAGUUAAGUGGCACGAAUGUGCGACCUGUUCGUAUAAAUGUAAAACGAAGAAUCAAUUAAAGCUGCAUUUAAUUUUCCACCAUUCAGAUAUGAAAUCAUUUCAGUGCAAAUAUUGCUCAUACAACAGUAAACUGGAAACUUACUUAAAAAGACAUUUAAAGAACUGCCACUCAGAUGAAAAUGAUGUUAAAUGGUUCAAAUGCGAACAGUGUCCAUUUAAAACUAAAUAUAAAGGAGUUUUAGGAAGCCACUUUAAUCAUAUUCACUUAGAAGCACACGAUCUCGAAUGGUUCAAAUGUGAAAAGUGUCCGUUUAAAACCACAGCGAAAAACAGCUUAAAAAGACACACACGUGCAAUUCACUUGAAAGAACACAUCGUUAAACAGUAUAAAUGUAAAGAGUGUGAAUUCAAAACCACGAAUAAAAAAAAUUUAAAGGUGCACAACGCGACACAUUCAAACAAAAAGAAAAUUAAGUGGUACGAAUGCGCGAAUUGUCCGUACAGGACUGUGUACCAGUCGCAUUUAAAACGUCACGUGAUUUGUAGACAUUUGGAUGACGAUAAAGUCAACUGGUAUGAAUGCAAAGAGUGUCCGUUCCGAACUAAGAGAAAAAGAGAUUUAAACUUGCACAUAAGUGCGAGACAUUUAGACGAAGAAAAAAUUAACUGGCACGAAUGUGGAAGUUGUACGUUCAAAAGUAAACGAGUGGAGGGUUUAAAACGACAUAUAGUUUCCCAACACACCGAUGACGAAAAAGUAAAGUGGCACGAAUGCGAAGAGUGUCCUUUCAAAACCAAGUACCAAAGAGCUUUAAAGAAACACAUAACGAGAAAACAUUGACUAAAAUUCUAUUACUUUGUGCAACAUGUUGUAUCUUUUCAUUAAAAUUUUGAAAAGCCGAUUUAUUUGUUCAUUUAUUAUUGUCAGCAACAGUCCUCGACAAACCAACGUAAAGACACAAAAUUCCCCAGAUGUCACUAACAUCUUUCUUUUUCUAUGGUUACUUCUACCGAACGUGAAUGCUUAAUUAAGUUUAUCAUUUCUGGGAUUAUUUCUGGUGGAAAAAAUUAAGCACGAGUUAUGACACUAAAAUGUUAGGUUAGGACUGACGUUCCUGGAACCAUUAGUGUCAGACGGUUAUUUCCAAUUCUAACACUACUCAAACGGGAUUUUAGUGGUUUUAGACAACCAAAAUGUCCACUUUGGAAUACUCAAAAGCGUUAACACAAUGGGGAAGACCGUCAUGGAAAAACGUCCACAACUGUAAACUGUGCCCCUAUUUUACAACGUCAUUUUUCUGCAUGGAAAAUCACACCAAACGACACCGUUUCCCUGUGGAAAAAUUUACAUGCACAAAUUCCGAAAUUGAAUUCUACCACUGUAUAGUCUGCGAUUUCAAAACGGAACUAACGAUUCUGUUCAAACAACAUGUCGCUAAAUAUCACGACCUUAAGACAGAAUCUGGUGAAGAUUUCCAUAUACAAAACUACGUUUGCGAAAAGUGCAACUUCGAAACAAACUUCUUGUUAAAGUGGUUUCAGCAUGUUUCAACAUGUACAAAUAAUAUCAUUUUAGAAGGACACAAUGCUGAAGUGUACACAUGUGAAAAGUGUCCAUUUAAAACCACAGUGAAAAACGGUUUGAAAAGACAUACAGGUGCAGUUCACUUGAAAAAAGACAUUGUUCAACAGUAUAAAUGUAAAGAGUGUGAAUUCAAAACUACGAUAAAAAAAAAUUUAAGAAUGCACUACAAUAGAAAACAUUUAGACGAAAACAAGAUUAAAUGGUACGAAUGCGCGAAUUGUCCCUACAGAACUGUAUACCAGUCGCAUAUAAAACGUCACAUGAUUUGUAGACAUUUGGAUGACGAAAAAAUCAAGUGGUUCGAAUGUGAAAAUUGCCAAUACAAAACAAAAUUCGCGUCGAAUUUAAGAAGUCAUAUGAUGUUUCGGCACUUGGACAAGGAAGAAGUGAAGUGGCACGAAUGUGCGACCUGUUCGUAUAAAUGUAAAAUCAAGAGUAAAUUAAAGGAGCAUACAAUUCUCCACCAUUCAGAUAUCAAAUCAUUCCAGUGCAACUAUUGCUCAUAUAACAGUAAACUGGAAAGUUACUUAAAAAAACAUAUGAAGAACCGUCACUUGAUCAAAGAUGGUGUUAAAUGGUACAAGUGUAGCCGGUGUCCAUUUAAAACUAAUGAUAAAGUAGUUUUAGAAAGCCACUUAGAAGUACACAAUUCUGAAGUGUACACAUGUGAAAAGUGUCCAUUUAAAACCACAGUAAAAAACGGUUUGAAAAGACAUUUCGGUGCAGUUCACUUGAAAGAAGACAUUGCUAAACAGUAUCAAUGUAAAGAGUGUGAAUUCAAAACUACAAAUAAAAGAUAUUUAACGCUGCACAACAAUAGAAAACAUUUAGACGAAAACAAUAUUAAAAGCUACGAAUGUGCGAAUUGUCCAUACAAAACUGUGUACCAGUCGCAUUUAAAACGUCACGUGAUUUCUAGACAUUCGGAUGCCGAAAAAAUCAAGUGGUACGAAUGCGAAGAGUGUCCAUUCAGAAGUGAGAGUCAAAGGAACUUAAACUUGCACAUAAGUGCGAAACAUUUAGACAAAGAAAAAAUUAACUGGCACGAAUGUGGACGUUGUACGUUCAAAAGUAUACGAGUGGAGGGUUUAAAACGACAUAUAAUUAGACAACAUACUGAUGAAGAAGAAGUCAAGUAACACGAAUGAGGCAUUACUUUGUACAUGUUUUAUUUUUUUAUUAAAAUUUUAAAAAACUA